GACGAACGCUGGCGGCGUGCUUAACACAUGCAAGUCGAACGGAAAGGCCCUGCUUUUGUGGGGUGCUCGAGUGGCGAACGGGUGAGUAACACGUGAGUAACCUGCCCUUGACUUUGGGAUAACUUCAGGAAACUGGGGCUAAUACCGGAUAGGAGCUCCUGCUGCAUGGUGGGGGUUGGAAAGUUUCGGCGGUUGGGGAUGGACUCGCGGCUUAUCAGCUUGUUGGUGGGGUAGUGGCUUACCAAGGCUUUGACGGGUAGCCGGCCUGAGAGGGUGACCGGCCACAUUGGGACUGAGAUACGGCCCAGACUCCUACGGGAGGCAGCAGUGGGGAAUAUUGCACAAUGGGCGGAAGCCUGAUGCAGCAACGCCGCGUGCGGGAUGACGGCCAUCGGGUUGUAAACCGCUUUCGCCUGUGACGAAGCGUGAGUGACGGUAAUGGGUAAAGAAGCACCGGCUAACUACGUGCCAGCAGCCGCGGUGAUACGUAGGGUGCGAGCGUUGUCCGGAUUUAUUGGGCGUAAAGGGCUCGUAGGUGGUUGAUCGCGUCGGAAGUGUAAUCUUGGGGCUUAACCCUGAGCGUGCUUUCGAUACGGGUUGACUUGAGGAAGGUAGGGGAGAAUGGAAUUCCUGGUGGAGCGGUGGAAUGCGCAGAUAUCAGGAGGAACACCAGUGGCGAAGGCGGUUCUCUGGGCCUUUCCUGACGCUGAGGAGCGAAAGCGUGGGGAGCGAACAGGCUUAGAUACCCUGGUAGUCCACGCUGUAAACGGUGGGUACUAGGUGUGGGGUCCAUUCCACGGGUUCCGUGCCGUAGCUAACGCUUUAAGUACCCCGCCUGGGGAGUACGGCCGCAAGGCUAAAACUCAAAGGAAUUGACGGGGCCCCGCACAAGCGGCGGAGCAUGCGGAUUAAUUCGAUGCAACGCGUAGAACCUUACCUGGGUUUGACAUGGAUCGGGAGUGCUCAGAGAUGGGUGUGCCUCUUUUGGGGUCGGUUCACAGGUGGUGCAUGGCUGUCGUCAGCUCGUGUCGUGAGAUGUUGGGUUAAGUCCCGCAACGAGCGCAACCCUUGUUCACUGUUGCCAGCACGUUAUGGUGGGGACUCAGUGGAGACCGCCGGGGUCAACUCGGAGGAAGGUGGGGAUGACGUCAAGUCAUCAUGCCCCUUGUGUCCAGGGCUUCACGCAUGCUACAAUGGCUGGUACAGAGAGUGGCGAGCCUGUGAGGGUGAGCGAAUCUCGGAAAGCCGGUCUCAGUUCGGAUUGGGGUCUGCAACUCGACCUCAUGAAGUCGGAGUCGCUAGUAAUCGCAGAUCAGCAACGCUGCGGUGAAUACGUUCCCGGGGCU
rnacentral:rRNA from 1 species